GAUGAACGCUAGCGGGAGGCUUAACACAUGCAAGUCGAGGGGCAUCACGAGGUAGCAAUACUUUGGUGGCGACCGGCGCACGGGUGAGUAACACGUAUGCAACCUUCCCUGUACAGGGGGAUAACCCGGAGAAAUUCGGACUAAUACCCCAUGAUGAUAUUAUGGGGCAUCCUUUAAUAUUUAAAGCUCUGGCGGUACAGGAUGGGCAUGCGCGACAUUAGCUAGUUGGUAAGGUAACGGCUUACCAAGGCGACGAUGUUUAGGGGACCUGAGAGGGUUGUCCCCCACACUGGUACUGAGACACGGACCAGACUCCUACGGGAGGCAGCAGUGAGGAAUAUUGGUCAAUGGGCGCAAGCCUGAACCAGCCAUCCCGCGUGCAGGAAGACGGCCCUAUGGGUUGUAAACUGCUUUUCCAGGGAGAGAAACUUACGCACGUGUUGCGUGACUGACGGUACCUGGGAAUAAGCAUCGGCUAACUCCGUGCCAGCAGCCGCGGUAA
rnacentral:rRNA from 1 species